CCUGUUUAUCCUAGAGGAAAUAAAUUUCUUUUUCUUUGCAUUAAUAACUUUUCUUUAUGUUUUUUUUCAAAGCAGGGUAAAGAGGACUCCUGUUCCCUGCUGUUCAGAAGGAGCCUCCUGUGCUUCAGCGUGUGCCCACUGCUCCAGUGCUGUCACUGGGCACCACUGGGAAGAGCCUGGCUCCAUCCUCCUCGCACCGUCCGUGCCUUCCUUUCUGUAUUGUCCUUCCAGGAGAUAUCAGAGUGGUUGAAGUCCCCUAUGAAGACCAGGGCCCGAGACUCAAAAUCUGAGUUUAGACACAGGAAGGAUGAGGAGGACCAGAGUUUUAUCACUAUCUUCUCAUUUUGCAUCACACUUCAGCAUCUUCGCCCAUAAAACAACUUUUCAUCCUAGACUGAACUGGACUUGACUGUAACCUUCACACACAUCAACAGAUACUCACUGACCCAUGCUGAAAGGAAUGGGACAGUGUUUUCCUGAAGAAACACUAUUCCUCUAGUCCAGUGUAUGGACAAAAGGACAAGAAGAUACAGUCCAGUACUACUUAGAUUAAUUCUUAUUCAUCUAAUCAUAAAAAUACAAGAAGAUAAAGGAAACUUACAACUGAAUUACAUGUGACAAGUUCUUUAAUUCGAACCAUUACUUCCUGUGUGAAUGUUCCUGGCCAGAACACUUGGGAGACGAGUCCUUUGGCACAAGCUUCCUGCGCCGUCAGCUUCCUUCCACUGAACAACAUUUCAUUGGCCUGAAGGGAUAAAAAGUUACUUCUGGUAUGAAAUGUAAUGAGACAAAACUCAUCAAAGGAAAAAUGUUCAAAACAAAUAAGAAAAAUGCCUGCACUGUUUGAAAUAGUUUUAUUACAGCUCUUCCAAGUUUUUUUAAUUAAAAAAAGAAAAAUACUGGCCUACAGCUGGCUGGUCCGUGUUGUUGAGCAGUACUAGGUCAGUAGUUAUUGAAAUGUGGAUGUCUAUGAUUAAUGGUUAAAUGUGAAAAUGUCUUCUGUCAUUUCCUGGCUGUGAAUGUUUGUUAGCUCUGGCUUUCUUACAGUACUGCUGACUUGGUUAUCUGUGUAUGUGGGAAUAGGUUAUAAUGCCUGGCCAAUCUGUAAACCAGCAAUGAAUACAUCAGCUUGCCCUUUAUAAGGAUGUAUUCCAAUUUCUGACCAAAUUCAUAGAAAAUAAACAUUCACAUUUGCUUCAA